UACGUAGGCAGCAAGCGUUGUUCGGAGUUACUGGGCGUAAAGGGUGUGUAGGCGGUUCUUUAAGUUUUGCUGUGAAAUCUCCCGGCUUAACCGGGAGGGUGCGGUGAAUACUGAGGGACUAGAGUACGGGAGAGGAAAGUGGAAUUCCUGGUGUAGCGGUGAAAUGCGUAGAUAUCAGGAGGAACACCGGUGGUGUAGACGGCUUUCUGGACCGACACUGACGCUGGAGACACGAAAGCGUGGGUAGCAAACAGG
rnacentral:rRNA from 1 species